rnacentral:rRNA from 1 species
UGGGGAAUAUUGCACAAUGGGCGCAAGCCUGAUGCAGCCAUGCCGCGUGUAUGAAGAAGGCCUUCGGGUUGUAAAGUACUUUCAGUCGGGAGGAAGGUGUCAAGGUUAAUAACCUUGGCAAUUGACGUUACCGACAGAAGAAGCACCGGCUAACUCCGUGCCAGCAGCCGCGGUAAUACGGAGGGUGCAAGCGUUAAUCGGAAUUACUGGGCGUAAAGCGCACGCAGGCGGUUGAUUGAGUCAGAUGUGAAAUCCCCGGGCUUAACCCGGGAAUUGCAUCUGAUACUGGUCAGCUAGAGUCUUGUAGAGGGGGGUAGGAUUCCAUGUGGAGCGGUGAAAUGCGUAGAAAUCUGGAGGAAUACCGGUGGCGAAGGCGGCCCCCUGGACGAAGACUGACGCUCAGGUGCGAAAGCGUGGGGAGCAAACAGG